rnacentral:rRNA from 1 species
UACGGAGGGUGCAAGCGUUGUCCGGAUUUAUUGGGUUUAAAGGGUGCGUAGGCGGCUAAUUAAGUCAGUGGUGAAAGGCAGCAGCUCAACUGUUAGCACGGCCAUUGAUACUGAUUAGCUUCAGUACAGUCGAGGUAGGCGGAAUUGAAGGUGUAGCGGUGAAAUGCAUAGAUAUCUUCAAGAACACCUAUUGCGAAGGCAGCUUACUAGGCUGUAACUGACGCUGAGGCACGAAAGCGUGGGGAUCGAACAGG